AUGGGGAAAUUGCUCAUUUUUUUGCUCUGCAUUUCCCUGUUUGAAGGGUGGAUGGUCCAGUCGGUUCCCUAUGAUUAUACCGCGAGCAUUAAGUGCUUGGGCAGCCCGAUACGAGCCCUGUACAAAGGCGGCAUCAUUGAGAACAGCGAGUUCAACAGCGGCCUGACGGGCUGGUCGGUGCCGUGGGGCGUGACGGCCAACGUGAGCAGCUCGCCGUCCGGCAACAACUUCGCGUUGGCGUCGGCGAGCAACAAUGGCCAGCCGUCGCGCAGCGUCUACCAGAAGAUCCAGAUGGAAAGCGACCACCACUACUCCCUCUCUGCAUGGUUGCAGGUUUCGUCCGGCGCGGCGGUGGUGAGAGCCGUCUUCAAGGCUCCCAACGGCGCCUUCAUCGCCGGUGGAGCCACCGUCGCCAGGUCCGGCUGUUGGAGCAUGCUCAAGGGCGGCAUGACCGCCUUUUCUUCCGGCCCAGGCGAGCUCUUCUUCGAGGCCGAUGGUAGGGUGGACAUCUGGGUGGACAGCGUGUCUCUGCAGCCCUUCUCCUUCCCCGAGUGGGAAGAGCACCGCCGUCUGUCGGCCGGCCAGGCCCGCCGGAGCGCCGUCAAGGUGGUCGCCCGGGCCGCUGACGGCGUCCCACUGCCGAACGCCAACCUGAGCGUCAAGCUCCUCCGGCCCGGCUUCCCGUUCGGCAACGCCAUGACCAAGGAGAUCCUCGACAUCCCGGCCUACGAGCAGUGGUUCACGUCCCGGUUCACCGUGGCCAGCUUCGAGAACGAGAUGAAGUGGUACAGCACGGAGUGGAUGGAGAACCACGAGGACUACACCAUCGCGGACGCCAUGCUGCGGCUCGCCGAGAAGCACGGCAUCGCGGUGCGCGGCCACAACGUGCUCUGGGACACCAACGACACGCAGGUGUCGUGGGUGAAGCCGCUGGACACGCAGCGGCUGAAGGCGGCCAUGCAGAAGCGCAUCAGCUCCGUGGUGUCGCGGUACGCCGGCAAGGUCAUCGCCUGGGACGUGGUGAACGAGAACCUCCACGGGCAAUUCUUCGAGAGCAGGCUCGGCCGCAACGCGUCGUCCGAGGUGUACCAGCGGGUGGCGCGGAUCGACCGGACGGCGAGGCUGUUCAUGAACGAGUUCGGCACGCUGGAGGAGCCCUUGGACGUGGCUGCCAUGCCCAGCAAGUACGUCGCCAAGUUGAAGCAGAUACGCUCCUACCCCGGCAACCGCGGCAUCAAGCUCGCCGUCGGCCUCGAGAGCCACUUCGGCACGCCCAACAUCCCUUACAUGAGGGCGACGCUGGACAUGCUCGCGCAGCUCCGGAUCCCCAUCUGGCUCACCGAGGUCGACGUCGGCCCGAAGGGCGCCCCCUACGUGCCGGUCUACCUGGAGGAGGUGCUGAGGGAAGGCUACGGGCACCCCAACGUGGAGGGCAUGGUGAUGUGGGCGGCCUGGCACGCGCAGGGCUGUUGGGUCAUGUGCCUCACGGACAACAACUUCAACAAUCUCCCCGCCGGCGACCGCGUCGACAAGCUCAUCGCUGAAUGGAGGGCACACCCGGAGGGCGCCACCAUGGACGCCAACGGCGUGACCGAGCUGGACCUCGUCCACGGCGAGUACAGCUUCACGGUGACUCACCCGUCGCUUGGCUCGCCCGCCGUGCGCACUUUGACGGUGGACGCGUCGUCGUCUGCGGUGGAGCACACUAUAGACAUCAAGGUGUAG
rnacentral:rRNA from 1 species